UAUCAAAAACACGCCUCUUGAAUACUCAUAAGAGGUCCAGCCUGCCCAGUGACCAUGUUCAACGGCCGCGGUAUCCUAACCGUGCGAAGGUAGCGUAAUCACUUGUUCUUUAAAUGAGGACUAGUAUGAAUGGCACCACGAAGGUUAUACUGUCUCCUUUUUCUAAUCAAUGAAACUAAUCUCCCCGUGAAGAAGCGGGGAUAAACCUAUAAGACGAGAAGACCCUAUGGAGCUUUAAACAACAUAGCACUUGCCCUACAACAUAAAAUUUCCUGAACACUUAAAUUUUACCGGUAUAUUGACUAUAAGUUUUUGGUUGGGGUGACCGAGGAGCAUAAUACAACCUCCAUGUUGAAAGAUACUUAUUCUUAGCUAAGACCUACCAGUCUAAGCAUCAAUAUAUUGACAUCCAUUGACCCAAUAAAAUUGAACAACGAACCAAGUUACCCUAGGGAUAACAGCGCAAUCCACUUCAAGAGCUCCUAUCGACAAGUGGGUUUACGACCUCGAUGUUGGAUCAGGGUAUCCCAGUGGUGCAGCCGCUACUAAAGGUUCGUUUGUUCAACGAUUAAAACCCUAC
rnacentral:rRNA from 1 species